CCUAAGAAACCAUUUUCUCUAUUUAUUGUUUUAUUAAUGAGCCUAAGAGCCCAUUUUCUCUCCUUUUUGGAACUUCGUUUUAGAUUGGGAAAAUACACCCUGUAUUCAUAUUAAGGGAAGGGUGAAUGGGUAAAAUCACUUGACCUCAUUUUGCACUCGGUUGCGAAGCUAUUCAAUGAGGUUUACCCGAUCAAACCUCUGACCUGCGGUCGAUCGCCUCUCUCCCUCUUUCGACCACCGCCGUCUGGCUAUUCCAACGAGCAGAAACACCGAAUCCAUCCUCAUUAUGUUCAAUUUGGAUUUUGAAGGUAAAAGAUAAACCCUAUCAUUAUUACCUUUUCAUUCUCUCCUUCAAAUCUGAGACUUUGAUCUUUUAAAAUCCUUUUUCAAUCCUUCAAAUUCACACCUUAAAUUUCGCUGUCUGUCUCCAUUUACACCAUUAUCGAUCGUACUUCACUCCUCUUGUUUGCUCUGACGUUUGCCACCUGCUCCGUUAAUCAUGUUUGCUGUGUAUUGUUCUACUCAUCUUCGCCAUUUUUUUCUCGAUCGCCUUCGUCCCUACCAGGUUAUGCUCCACUCAACUUCUUGAGACAAAUUUUCUUAGCUUAGGUUCCAAUCCACUCCACUUUACUCCAGCUUUUGUAUUUAGAUCAGAUUGCUACAAUUGGGUAAAAUUUUAAAGUAAAAAGUAGGAAGCUUAAAAUUGUGCCGAUAACGAGCGUGCCGAGACAAAUGUUGAGAUUGAAAAAUUGAAGAUGUUAGUUGAGACGCAACCAAACAAUAUGAUGCUCAACAAAAAUAUGAGGAUGCUCAACAAAAGAAUGUGGAGUUUCAAUAGAAAAAUGUGGAUGUUCAAUCAAAAUUUGAACAACUUGCACAACCAAUGAAUGUGAUAGAAUAUUAUGUAUCGAAUAGCAUUUUAUGUUAAAUUUGUGGCGAAUUUUGAUUUUGAAAUAUGUAUCAUUUGACUUACUAGAUAUUUGUUUUAGCUUGUAUAGAAAUACUCUGUUACUUUUGGUUUUA